GUCUCUGUAGCGCAAUGGAUAGCGCAUUGGACUUCUCAUCCAAAGAGCAUAGGUUCGAAUUCUAUCAAGGAUG